rnacentral:rRNA from 1 species
CAGCCGCCGCGGUAAUACCGGCGGCCCGAGUGGCGGUCACUAUUAUUGGGCUUAAAGCGUCCGUAGCCGGGUUGGGAAGUCCUCCGGGAAAUCUGGCCGCUUAACGGUCAGAAUGCCGGAGGAUACUCCCAGCCUAGGGAGCGGGGGAGGCCGAGGGGAUUCCCGGAGUAGGGGUGCAAUCCUAUAAUCCCGGGAGGACCACCUGUGGCGAAGGCGCUCGGCUGGAACGCGUCCGACGGUGAGGGACGAAGGCCAGGGGAGCAAACCGGAUUAGAUACCCGGGUAGUCCUGGCUGUAAACGAUGCGGACUUUGUGUCGGACAAGCUAUGAGCUUGUCCGGUGCCGGAGGGAAACCGUUAAGUCCGCCGCCUGGGGAGUACGGCCGCAAGGCUGAAACUUAAAGGAAUUGGCGGG